CACGUAGGGCGCAAGCGUUGUCCGGAAUUAUUGGGCGUAAAGAGCUCGUAGGCGGUCUGUUGCGUCCGCUGUGAAAACCCGGGGCUUAACCCCUGGCUUGCAGUGGAUACGGACAGACUAGAGGUAGGUAGGGGAGAAUGGAAUUCCCGGUGUAGCGGUGAAAUGCGCAGAUAUCGGGAGGAACACCGGUGGCGAAGGCGGUUCUCUGGGCCUUACCUGACGCUGAGGCGCGAAAGCGUGGGGAGCAAACAGG
rnacentral:rRNA from 1 species